rnacentral:rRNA from 1 species
UAGGGAAUCUUGGACAAUGGGCGAAAGCCUGAUCCAGCCAUGCCGCGUGAGUGAUGAAGGCCUUAGGGUUGUAAAGCUCUUUCGCCAGGGAAGAUAAUGACGGUACCUGGAUAAGAAGCCCCGGCUAACUUCGUGCCAGCAGCCGCGGUAAUACGAAGGGGGCUAGCGUUGUUCGGAAUUACUGGGCGUAAAGCGCACGUAGGCGGCUUUCCAAGUUGGAGAUGAAAUCCCCGGGCUUAACCCGGGAACUGCCUCCAAAACUGAAAGGCUAGAGUCCGAGAGAGGUGAGUGGAAUUUCCAGUGUAGAGGUGAAAUUCGUAGAUAUUGGAAAGAACACCAGUGGCGAAGGCGGCUCACUGGCUCGGUACUGACGCUGAGGUGCGACAGCGUGGGGAGCAAACA